CAGUAGCCACGGGAAUACGAAGGGGGCUAGCGUUGUUCGGAUUUACUGGGCGUAAAGGGCGCGUAGGCGGGCGAAUAAGUCAGGGGUGAAAUCCCAAGGCUCAACCUUGGAACUGCCUUUGAUACUGUUUGUCUUGAGUUCGAGAGAGGUAAGUGGAACUGCGAGUGUAGAGGUGAAAUUCGUAGAUAUUCGCAAGAACACCAGUGGCGAAGGCGGCUUACUGGCUCGAAACUGACGCUGAGGCGCGAAAGCGUGGGGAGCAAACAGGAUUAGAUACCCCUGUAGUCCCUGUCUCUUAUCC
rnacentral:rRNA from 1 species